rnacentral:tRNA from 2 species
GCGCAUUAUGAUGGCAAUUGCCUGCCCUCCGAAGGCAGGGGUUGCUGGUUCGAUCCCAGCCGGGCGCGCCA